UGUUGCCAUCCGUUCCGUUAGCGUCGACGGCGUUUCGCCGAGUUUACGCGCACCGCACAGUAGUAGCGGCCGCGUCCCAGUUGCUGAGGUACGCAUGUGUUAACUUCGAGACGACGUUCUCUCUAUGAGACACACACAUACUGGGAGAAUAAAUGUGGAAGAGUACUUCCUGAUAUUACCGGUACUGUGACAUUUAAGUGACAAGCGUGUGCGGCUAGUUAACUUACUUCCAUCUUCAUAACAUGUGCAGUGUGUUCGUUGAUUGGUUCCUCGACACAUACUGCACUUACGGCGAAGUUAAUGCUGGUCACAAGCACGCACGUAUGAUGUGUGUUAACUGAAGCGAGAGGAAUUAAAACCACGGUCUUCCCGCAGGCCAGCCCAGAAACGACAAGCCGUCUGCAAGUGAGGUAGCCUCACUGAUAACACGCAAGAAAAAGCUAUUGACCGCAGUGUAAUGUCUUGGACCACGAGAGGAACGCAUGAGGUGCGCUUUUCCAAAGUAUUCUCCAGAUGCCUGUCUGAGCUCUAAAUAUUGGAAGCCUCAUCUAGGGACAUGUCUUAAGAAGAUUGACUGCUUUGAGUCUACUUGGUUCCACCACAAUGGGAGUAUCUACUGUAAAGUGAAGAAAGAGACAAGCAAAGAACCGGUAGAGUUGCGCUGAGAAGAUUACUGCCCCAAACAUUUCCCCGAAGACCUGAUGUAGAAAGUACAACAGCGAUCUCGGAGGCUGCGACAUCGCAGCAGCGGCGCCGGAGCACUGGCGCCGUCGCCACAGCGCGGCUAAUGUGGACGCGCGACGCCGUGACGUCAUGAACAGCAGUGCUGCGGAC